UUCGAAAACUAUUCUUUUUUUGAGCGCACGAGAAGAGAGGGGGAAUCCUCCACUGCAGCCGCGAAACGGGUAGUUUUUGGGUGUGACCCCCAGUGGGGGAGGGGGAACUUUUUGAUCUGUACCUCACGUUGAAGGCUCGAAAGCCACGGGAGCGAACGGGAUUAGAUACCCCCGGUAGUCCUGCGCCCGUAAACGAUGAAUUCUAGGUGUGGGAGGUAUCGACCUCCUCCCGUGCCGGAGUUAACGCAAUAAGUAUUCCGCCUGGGGAGUACGGUCGCAAGACUGAAACUCAAAGGAAUUGACGGGGGCCCGCACAAGCGCUGGAGUAUGUGGUUUAAUUCGACGCAACGCGAAGAACCUUACCAGGGCUUGACAUUGAGUGAAAGGUGCAGAGAUGCAUCCCUCUCUUCGGAGACACGAAAACAGGUGGUGCAUGGCUGUCGUCAGCUCGUGUCGUGAGAUGUUGGGUUAAGUCCCGCAACGAGCGCAAC
rnacentral:rRNA from 1 species